UGUAGGUGCGGCGUAUAGUCCGGAAAAUACAGUAUUCAUUUAUGGGGCUUCCUUUUGAAUAGAAUAGUGACUUGCUUGGAUUCGUUCAGCUGUAUAGUAGCAUUAUGUCGCCUAGUUUUCUCACAGUUAUGUCAAAAGGUACAUUCAGUGGAGGGAUCAGUGGUAGAAAAAAAAAGAAUUAAAAAAAAGACAAGAAAAAAGAUUGUUGCUGCCCUGAGAGCAACAUGAGGCACUAGUUUAGAUAUGUCGGAAUUUUGCGUCCUCUUGUGGUUACUUUUAAAAACAGCAGUCAUUUCACAGUUUGUAUUACUCCCUCAAAGACCCGCCUACCAGGUCGUAGCUUAUUGGUCAGCUGUUCUUAUAGAGGCACGGGAUUGGUCCGGAGGCGAUUGUCGUCAGCGAAGUCGGAAAACAAUAAACACACGGUUAAAUGGUAUUUAGUAACUUACAGUCUCCGAAAUGCCAACAUCUCCUGUGAAAACCCGGAUCCCCUCACCAGCUUCGGUCAUCUCAUCACAGAGGUGAAGAAGCAGCUGUUUGGCAUCGAAGGACCCUCAUCUGUGCAGCUGACCGGUUGGAGGAAAUACUGCAAUAGCUACACGCUGCAGGGCCUCAGAAACAUACAUAAUGCACUUAAAUACAGCACUUCACAUACAGCACAUAUUUAAAACAUAUAUCCAGUCCAGGAUAGCAAUUCAUGAAAAACAAUUGUUAUACUUUCAAUUUUUCACAUUUUGUACGCUAAAGCCACUAACUUCAGUUUACUUAGCUGGGAUCAGAUGUGAUAGGGCAUCACAGAUAAUGCAUACUUGUAAAGUGGAAGGAAAAGGUGACUUUUUUUUAAUUGCCGUAUUAUUUGUUUAACUAUGACUCCUUCAGUAUUUAUAAAAAUGCUAUAUAUAUAUAUAUAUAUAUAUAUAUAUAUAUAUAUAUAUAUAUAAUUGAUUUCAUAAUUUAAUGCCUUGAAAUGAGGCUUCUGUCUCUUUAAACUCCUGCUCUUCCUGAAACUCCACCUUUAAGGAAGUCAUCAUAACAUCGCUCCUCUAUUAAACCUUUUUGCUGAGAAGGGGCUCCUAUAAUAAACUUGUAAAAUUCAGCUUGAUUUAAAGCAGAACUCACAAUAUACUGAAGGGGGAUCUGUCACAGGAAUCAGGUAAAAUAUGUUACACCGUUUAGUUUGAUAAGAAAAUAAAUAUCCAACCACUCAAUAUGAAAUUUGUUGAUUUUUAGCAACAAUGAUUUAUUCAAAAAAAACCACAAUACUGAGAAAUAGUAAUAGUUAUUCUGAAAAAUAAUCAGUAACCAAAAAUCCCUCAAAAAUAAUUAUAGGUAAGAUUUAAAUCACUCAGUUUAUGUCAGCAAAAAGAAAAAAACCCUAAAUAAUUAAAUGUCCAAAAAUUCCCGUUCUUUUUUAGUCAGAAUAAUGUCCGAAAAGGAGUCCCAUAUCCUCAAAAACCAAAACAAAGUCCUGGAAGCAUUUCUCCAUUUUAAUCCAAAAUGAAAAAUCCAAAAUGUCAAAAACCCCAAAAGGAAGAGAAAAAACAGUGGUACCACCAAAAAUCCCAAAAAAGAAAAGUAAAGUUCUGAUCUCACGGGGUGCAUAAGCACCGGAACAGGGGGGCCCAGGGGACCAUUGCCCCCCUCCUCCCACUUCACGGCCCUGCCCAGCUGGUCCCGCCAGACAUUUACACAAGCUGCACACAACUCUGACAAUCUGUGACUGACAUCUCUGUGUUUGUAUGCAGAUAAAACCUCCAGCACUGAGAUCUGGACCAAAUCUAAUCUAAGGCUCCAGAUCAGAACAGUCAAAGGUUUACACACAUGCGGCAGCUUCGGGUCGGGUUGGGAUUAUGAACUGGUCUGACAUCUGAAAAAAGGAUUGGACUCUGAUCCGGUCCAGGUCCGAACCAAUUGUGCCUAAAACUGAAAUGAGAUUUCUGUAUUUGUCACCAUUUAUAGAACCGUGAUGAUGUUUUCUUUCUAAUGGCGUUGGGAUGAGAAAAAAAAGAACAUCGGGCCCAUUUCCUUUUACAGUCCGGACCAAAUGCUCAGAGCAGAUCAUUUUGACUAUAAUUGCGUGAAUUAUUAUUAUUUUUUUCCUCUUUGCUCUUCCAAAAACCAAUGAGCCAUCAGUAGCCAUAAAUAUCGAUGGCUGCUGAUGGUUUUCAGGUGUCUGUUUCUGUUGAAAUUCAUUUUUGUCUGCUAAGUAAAAAACACAUUAAAGUUUAUUCAUGGUGUUUUUCAUUUUGUUUUUAAUGCAAAGAUAUUGACAUCUCUUUCCACACAGUUUGUGGAACAUGCAGCAAAUAUAAUCUGCGCUGCCUUUUGGUUUCAGACCCAGAUCAUCCAGAUAGCUGCUGCUGCUGCUGUGUGUGGUUUGGCGAACUGAAGAGCUGACGGGUCACCCGGCUGGACAACUGUUUAACCCGUUACUGGUGCCUUCACACCAGUGAUGUAAUGAUGACGAAACCUUCAUACAAUCACACACGGUGUUUUAAUACCGUCGAUCUGUAUUCAGCUGUUCUUGGUGCUGCAGGCAUUUCUCCGAAUUUUACAUUUUUCCAGACUCCAGUUUGGAAAAAGGAAUAAAGUCCAUUCCACCAUCUAAA